GAUGAACGCUGGCGGCGUGCUUAACACAUGCAAGUCGAACGGUGAAGGCGGAGCUUGCUCUGCUGGAUCAGUGGCGAACGGGUGAGUAACACGUGAGCAAUCUGCCCCUGACUCUGGGAUAAGCGCUGGAAACGGCGUCUAAUACUGGAUACGAGCUGCGAAGGCAUCUUCAGCAGCUGGAAAGAAUUUCGGUCAGGGAUGAGCUCGCGGCCUAUCAGCUUGUUGGUGAGGUAAUGGCUCACCAAGGCGUCGACGGGUAGCCGGCCUGAGAGGGUGACCGGCCACACGGGGACUGAGACACGGCCCAGACUCCUACGGGAGGCAGCAGUGGGGAAUAUUGCACAAUGGGCGAAAGCCUGAUGCAGCAACGCCGCGUGAGGGACGACGGCCUUCGGGUUGUAAACCUCUUUUAGCAGGGAAGAAGCGAAAGUGACGGUACCUGCAGAAAAAGCGCCGGCUAACUACGU
rnacentral:rRNA from 1 species